rnacentral:rRNA from 1 species
UACGUAGGGGGCAAGCGUUGUCCGGAUUUAUUGGGCGUAAAGAGCGUGUAGGCGGCCAGACAGGUCAGCUGUGAAAACUCGAGGCUCAACCUCGAGACGUCGGUUGAAACCGUCUGGCUAGAGUCCGGAAGAGGAGAGUGGAAUUCCCGGUGUAGCGGUGAAAUGCGCAGAUAUCAGGAGGAACACCAAUAGCGAAGGCAGCUCGCUGGGACGUUACUGACACUGAGGCGCGAAAGCGUGGGGAGCGAACAGG